AUUGAACGCUGGCGGCAGGCUUAACACAUGCAAGUCGAGCGGGGAAAUAUAGCUUGCUAUAUGACCUAGCGGCGGACGGGUGAGUAAUGCUUAGGAAUCUGCCUAUUAGUGGGGGACAACAUUUCGAAAGGGAUGCUAAUACCGCAUACGCCCUACGGGGGAAAGCAGGGGAUCUUCGGACCUUGCGCUAAUAGAUGAGCCUAAGUCGGAUUAGCUAGUUGGUGGGGUAAAGGCCUACCAAGGCGACGAUCUGUAGCGGGUCUGAGAGGAUGAUCCGCCACACUGGGAAUGAGACACGGCCCAGACUCCUACGGGAGGCAGCAGUGGGGAAUAUUGGACAAUGGGGGGAACCCUGAUCCAGCCAUGCCGCGUGUGUGAAGAGGGCCUUUUGGUUGUAAAGCACUUUAGGCGAGGAGGAGGCUCCUGUAGAUAAUACCUACAGUGAGUGGACGUUACUCGCAGAAUAAGCACCGGCUAACUCUGUGCCAGCCGCCGCGGUAA
rnacentral:rRNA from 1 species